rnacentral:rRNA from 1 species
AACGAACGCUGGCGGCAGGCUUAACACAUGCAAGUCGAACGCCCCGCAAGGGGAGUGGCAGACGGGUGAGUAACGCGUGGGAAUCUACCCAUCUCUGCGGAAUAGCCCCGGGAAACUGGAAUUAAUACCGCAUACGCCCUACGGGGGAACGAUUUAUCGGGGAUGGAUGAGCGCGCGUUGGAUUAGCUAGUUGGUGGGGUAAAGGCCUACCAAGGCGACGACCCAUAGCUGGUCUGAGAGGAUGAUCAGCCACAUUGGGACUGAGACACGGCCCAAACUCCUACGGGAGGCAGCAGUGGGGAAUAUUGGACAAUGGGCGCAAGCCUGAUCCAGCCAUGCCGCGUGAGUGAUGAAGGCCUUAGGGUUGUAAAGCUCUUUCACCGGUGAAGAUAAUGACGGUAACCGGAGAAGAAGCCCCGGCUAACUUCGUGCCAGCCGCCGCCGUAA